rnacentral:rRNA from 1 species
UACAGAGGUGGCAAGCGUUGUUCGGAAUUACUGGGCGUAAAGGGCGCGUAGGCGGCGCAACAAGUCACUUGUGAAAUCUCCGGGCUUAACCCGGAGCGGUCAAGUGAUACUGUCGUGCUAGAGUGCGGAAGGGGCUACUGGAAUUCUCGGUGUAGCGGUGAAAUGCGUAGAUAUCGAGAGGAACACCUGCGGCGAAGGCGGGUAGCUGGGCCGAUACUGACGCUGAGGAGCGACAGCGUGGGUAGCAAACAGG